UACGUAGGGUGCGAGCGUUGUCCGGAUUCACUGGGCGUAAAGCGCGCGCAGGCGGUCUUCUACGUCUGGGGUGAAAACCCGGGGCUCAACCCCGGGACUGCCUUGGAUACGGGAAGACUUGAGGAUCGGAGAGGCAAGGGGAAUUCCACGUGUAGCGGUGAAAUGCGUAGAGAUGUGGAGGAACACCUGUGGCGAAGGCGCCUUGCUGGCCGAUUUCUGACGCUGAGGCGCGAAAGCGUGGGGAGCAAACAGG
rnacentral:rRNA from 1 species